rnacentral:tRNA from 1 species
GGGGCUAUAGCUCAGCUGGGAGAGCGCUACAAUGGCAUUGUAGAGGUCGUCGGUUCGAUCCCGAUUGGCUCCACCA